rnacentral:rRNA from 1 species
UACGGGGGGGGCAAGCGUUGUUCGGAAUUACUGGGCGUAAAGGGCUCGUAGGCGGCCAACUAAGUCAGACGUGAAAUCCCUCGGCUUAACCGGGGAACUGCGUCUGAUACUGGAUGGCUUGAGUGUGGGAGAGGAAUGCGGAAUUCCAGGUGUAGCGGUGAAAUGCGUAGAUAUCUGGAGGAACACCGGUGGCGAAGGCGGCAUUCUGGACCAUUACUGACGCUGAGGAGCGAAAGCCAGGGAGCAAAGCGGG